CCAACGUGGCGCCUGAGUACGGGGAAAGGGUUUGGCGAGCAGACACUCCUUACAGCAGCCAAAGAUUAUUGAGUACGAACCCCACUGCCUCGUCCUUGUCACCAGCCCUUCUCUAGGUCCGACACAGCAGACUCUCAGAGACCUGGGCUUUAAUGGGUACACUGGCACAAGCCGUGACAGAUGCUGCCACCUGGUGGCACCUUCCUAAGAGGCGAAAUCUGACUCUCUCUUUGACAAACUUGAUCAUGUUCUUCAGUGCCCUCUUCUUGACUGGGCCCCGAGCUUGGCCUCUUGCAUCUGCCCUGUCUUCACGCAGCCCAGUUCAGCAAGGACUCUAUUGCCUCCCGCUAAUGUCGGGUCACCUUUGAUGUCUGGUCAAGGCCCCUUCCUCAUCUUUGAUGUCCGGGGCUUCCUCUGCACCUCAGCCCUCACAGAAGAUAACACGGAGGCUUCCAGCUGCUCUUGUUUUAUUGAG